UACAGAGGUCUCAAGCGUUGUUCGGAUUUAUUGGGCGUAAAGGGUGCGUAGGCGGCGCGGUAAGUCGGGUGUGAAAUCUCGGAGCUUAACUCCGAAACUGCAUUCGAUACUGCCGUGCUUGAGGACUGGAGAGGAGACUGGAAUUUACGGUGUAGCGGUGAAAUGCGUAGAUAUCGUAAGGAAGACCAGUGGCGAAGGCGGGUCUCUGGACAGUUCCUGACGCUGAGGCACGAAGGUCAGGGGAGCAAACGGG
rnacentral:rRNA from 1 species